rnacentral:rRNA from 1 species
UACGUAGGGGGGCGAGCGUUGUCCGGAAUCAUUGGGCGUAAAAGCGCGUGUAGGCGGCUCGGUAAGUCUGCUGUGAAAGUCCAGGGCUCAACCCCUGGGAUGCCGAUCGAUACUGCCGGACUAGAGUCCGGAAGAGGCGAGUGGAAAUUCCCCGGUGUAGCGGUGAAAAUGCGCAGAUAUCGGGAGGAACACCAAUGGCGAAGGCAGCUCGCUGGGACGGUACUGACGCUGAGACGCGAAAAGCGUGGGGGAGCAAAACAGGG